rnacentral:rRNA from 1 species
GACGAACGCUGGCGGCGUGCUUAACACAUGCCAGUCGAACGGAAAGGCCCUGCUUGCAGGGUACUCGAGUUGCGAACGGGUGGGUAACACGUGGGUGGUCUGCCCUCCUCUUCGGGUUAAGCCUGGGCAACUAGGUCUAAUACCGGCUAGGAGCCAUUUUUAGUGUGAUGGUUGGAUAGUUUUUUCGGUGUAUGGUGAGCUGGCGGCCUAUCAGCUUGUUGGUGUGGUAAUGGCCUACCAAGGCGGCUACGGGUAGCCGGACUGAGGGGGUGAGCGGCCACAUUGGGACUGAGGGACGGCCGAGACACCUACGGGUGGGAGCAGGGGGGAAGAUUGAACAAGGGGCGCAAGGCGGAUGCAGCGGCGCCGCGGGGGGGAAGACGGCCUUCGGGUUGUAAAAUCAAUUCGCUAGGGACGAAGCUUUUUGUGACGGUACCUAGAGAAGAAGCACCGGCUAACUACGUG